GCUUUAACAUUUAUUGUAUGGCCUUAAUUUACCUGUCUUUCCACUUCUACCCAGGCUCCUUGAAACAGCAACAUCUUCUAUUUGCAAGCUGCAGAUUCGAUUCUCUUACAGUUAAUAGAGGAGUCACGGUUAAGAGAGUCUCCAAAGAGACUAUGGACCUGAACAGUAUUGGGAUUUUAAAAGAAGGUGGGGACUUUUGACGCUAGAAUGAAUAUGAUUUGCAUUAGGAAAUGGCUGUGAACGGAUGAGGGCCAAGGGCAGGGUGUUGUGGUCUGAAUGUGAAAUGUCACCUAUGGGCUCAGAAGAUAAAUACAUGAUACCCAGUUGGUGGCACUGUUUAAGAUGCUUGUGGGAGGAGUCUUCCGGUUUCCAUCUGUGCCUGGAGCAGACCCUCUGCCACAGGGCUCCAUACCC
rnacentral:lncRNA from 1 species